CACGGGGGGAGCAAGCGUUGUUCGGAAUCACUGGGCGUAAAGGGCGUGUAGGCGGUCAAGUAAGUGGAAUGUGAAACGCCUCGGCUUACCCGAGGACCUGCAUCCCAAACUGCUUGGCUUGAGUAUGGGAGAGGAUGAGGGAAUUCCUGGUGUAGCGGUGAAAUGCGUAGAUAUUGGAAAGACCACCAAUGGCGAAGGCACUCUACUGGGCCAUUACUGACACUGAGAGACGAAAGCUGGGGGAGCAAAUGGG
rnacentral:rRNA from 1 species